AGAACGGCGCUUUUAAGCGCCAUCAGAGAUGUUAAUAAAAUGAGUC
rfam:Triticum urartu cultivar G1812 contig413726, whole genome shotgun sequence.